UAGGGAAUCUUCCGCAAUGGGCGAAAGCUUGACGGAGCAACGCCGCGUGAGUGAUGAAGGUCUUCGGAUCGUAAAACUCUGUUAUUAGGGAAGAACAAAUGUGUAAGUAACUAUGCACGUCUUGACGGUACCUAAUCAGAAAGCCACGGCUAACUACGUGCCAGCAGCCACGGUAAUACGUAGGUGGCAAGCGUUAUCCGGAAUUAUUGGGCGUAAAGCGCGCGUAGGCGGUUUUUUAAGUCUGAUGUGAAAGCCCACGGCUAAACCGUGGAGGGUCAUUGGAAACUGGAAAACUUGAGUGCAGAAGAGGAAAGUGGAAUUCCAUGUGUAGCGGUGAAAUGCGCAGAGAUAUGGAGGAACACCAGUGGCGAAGGCGACUUUCUGGUCUGUAACUGACGCUGAUGUGCGAAAGCGUGGGGAUCAAACAGG
rnacentral:rRNA from 1 species